GUGCCAGCCGCCGCGGUAAUACGUAGGCAGCAAGCGUUGUUCGGAAUUACUGGGCGUAAAGAGUGCGUAGGUGGUUGGCCAAGUUUGGUGUGAAAUCUCCCGGCUUAACUGGGAGGGUGCGCCGAAAACUGGCCGGCUAGAGUGUGGGAGAGGGAAGCGGAAUUCCAGGUGUAGCGGUGAAAUGCGUAGAUAUCUGGAGGAACGCCUGCGGUGUAGACGGCUUCCUGGACCAUGACUGACACUGAGGCACGAAAGCGUGGGUAGCAAACAGGAUUAGAUACCCCGGUAGUCC
rnacentral:rRNA from 1 species